rnacentral:rRNA from 1 species
UACGUAGGGCGCAAGCGUUGUCCGGAAUCAUUGGGCGUAAAGAGCUCGUAGGUGGUCUGUUACGUCUGCUGUGAAAUCCUAGGGCUUAACCCUGGGCCUGCAGUGGAUACGGGCAGACUAGAGGUAGGUAGGGGAGAAUGGAAAUCCCGGUGUAGCGGUGAAAUGCGCAGAUAUCGGGAGGAACACCGGUGGCGAAGGCGGUUCUCUGGGCCUUACCUGACACUGAGGAGCGAAAGCGUGGGGAGCGAACAGG